GCCUGGCUAGCUCAGUUGGUAGAGCAUGGGAUUCUUAAUCCCAGGGUCAUAGGUUCAUGCCCAAUGUUGGGCA
rnacentral:tRNA from 1 species